rnacentral:rRNA from 1 species
GAUGAACGCUGGCGGCGUGCCUAAUACAUGCAAGUCGAGCGAACAGACGAGGAGCUUGCUCCUCUGACGUUAGCGGCGGACGGGUGAGUAACACGUGGAUAACCUACCUAUAAGACUGGGAUAACUUCGGGAAACCGGAGCUAAUACCGGAUAAUAUAUUGAACCGCAUGGUUCAAUAGUGAAAGACGGUUUUGCUGUCACUUAUAGAUGGAUCCGCGCCGCAUUAGCUAGUUGGUAAGGUAACGGCUUACCAAGGCGACGAUGCGUAGCCGACCUGAGAGGGUGAGCGGCCACACUGGAACUGAGACACGGUCCAGACUCCUACGGGAGGCAGCAGUAGGGAAUCUUCCGCAAUGGGCGAAAGCAUGACGGAGCAACGCCGCGUGAGUGAUGAAGGUCUUCGGAUCGUAAAACGCUGUUAUUAGGGAAGAACAAAUGUGUAAGUAACUAUGCACGUCUUGACGGGACCUAAUCAGAAAGCCACGGCUAACUACGU